rnacentral:rRNA from 1 species
GGGGAAUCUUCCGCAAUGGGCGAAAGCCUGACGGAGCAACGCCGCGUGAGUGAAGACGGCCUUCGGGUUGUAAAGCUCUGUUAUACGGGACGAAUAGUCUUGUGGUUAAUACCCAUAAGAAGUGACGGUACCGUAAGAGAAAGCCACGGCUAACUACGUGCCAGCAGCCGCGGUAAUACGUAGGUGGCAAGCGUUGUCCGGAAUUAUUGGGCGUAAAGGGCGCGCAGGCGGCUUCUUAAGUCUGUCUUAAAAGUGCGGGGCUUAACCCCGUGAUGGGAUGGAAACUGGGAAGCUCAGAGUAUCGGAGAGGAAAGCGGAAUUCCUAGUGUAGCGGUGAGAUGCGUAGAUAUUAGGAGGAACACCAGUGGCGAAAGCGGCUUUCUGGACGAAAACUGACGCUGAGGCGCGAAAGCCAGGGGAGCGAACGGGAUUAGAUACCCCGGUAGUCCUGGCCGUAAACGAUGGGUACUAGGUGUAGGAGGUAUCGACCCCUUCUGUGCCGGAGUUAACGCAAUAAGUACCCCGCCUGGGGAGUACGGCCGCAAGGUUG